UAAAAACAAGUACUCACCAUUCAAUAGUGAACAUAAACAGGCAUGAACUGGAUUCCUUCUUAGCCAGCUUGUGACCUUUCAGAGGAGGGAUGUUGCAGUACAUUUAUCCUCACACAGACAGAAGCAUGACAGGAAAGGAGAGAAGACGUCAAAGAGAUUCUGCCAAACAGGGGAAUAAGGAUUCCCAACCCCACCCCCUCCCACCCCCUGGAUGACACUUUCAAGAAAACGCAUGGUUUGGCAGUGUACAAAAAUAUUAGCAUUGCAAUACAAAUAGGAAUGUCUGUGACAUUUGAUGAAGUUUUACUCCACUAGUUCAGUUUAUUUGUAAAGGUUGGGAGGGAAUUUUGUGGGAAUGGAUGUUUGCCCCCAGAAGCCAUGCAUUGUGCCUUUUCUAGACUGUCCCUUGUGUUUCCCCAGAUAGCUCCCCCUCUUUUUUUCUUGUAACACAGAGAGUAAUUAGCUUUUAGUACAGCUUUCAUUUGAAAUGAGCAAAUUCCACAAUGUUUUCAAAGAUCAUCUAAUAUGCAUUCAAUUUUUGCAAUACGUGUGUCUGCUUUAUGAUUAGCUCUUUCGCCUUCCUGGCUUCCAGGCAAUCAGCAGUACAUUGUCCUGCACCAAUCCUAAUGUCUGUACAUUGAAACAAAGAGCAGUGUCCAUAGUGUUGGGAAAUAAUGGAAAAAAUUGUUUUUGAACUUAUUUACUAACUUACCAUUUAAUCACAAAUGUUCAUGCAACAUGAUAUAUGUACAACUGUUUUGAGAGAAACUAUUUAUGCAUAAGUGAUCAUAAUCAUGUGUGUCUGCCCAUAUUGUGAUGUGAACAACUAAAUUUACACAACCCUGCCAAACUGAAGUCAAGACUAGCUUUGCCCUUGAUUUCAAUGGGAAAAAUCGCAAAUUCCCAGAGUUCCCAUGCAGCCCAACACUUACAUACAUUUUUAAGUGCAUCCCAUAAGUUUAAUUUUAAGCAUG
rnacentral:lncRNA from 1 species